AAAAUUUAAUUGACUACCCCUCUAGUUGACCAUUAUUAUGGAAAUGAAAAGUAAUUAAGAAGAUUGGUUUCUAGUUGUUUUUUUUUUAACUUUGAAUCUUUGUGAGGCAUUAAGAAGCCCAUCCAAUCUAAUAACAACUUUGUUUUGAGUAUUUCUCUCUACACCACCACACCUUUCUCCUUAUACCAUCACACCCUUUUUUCUAUUUUUUUUUUUAUUUCAAAAGUAACCUUGUGAUUCGUGCGUGGUUUUGCCUCUUGAGAUCCAGGUUGGUUUCGUAUUGCUUUUAAUUUUUUGUGAUUCUCUGUUGUGCCGAGUGAAACCGUCGUUUGACUGUAACAUCUAUGAGUGAAUGUUAUCCUCCGUGAUAUUCUAUUUUUUUUUCUUUCGGUUGUGUAUUAUUUUUUUGGUUUAUUAUUUUAUUUUAUUUUUUAGAUUUAUUAAAAUUAUAUUUAAAAUAUAUUAUUUUGUUAGAUUUAUUUUUGUAAUUUUUUAUAUAGAGUAAAAACUGUUUAAAAAAACAAAAUAAAAUAAAGAUGGUUGGAGGCGGAAAUGAGGAUUAAUGCCCAUAUUCGUAAGGGAGGCUGUGGGGAUGAGGUGCAUGUUUAUAUAUUGGUAAAAAGUAAAAUUUUUUAACCACUAACUUUAAAU
rnacentral:lncRNA from 1 species